rnacentral:rRNA from 1 species
UCCUACGGGAGGCAGCAGUAGGGAAUCUUCCGCAAUGGACGAAAGUCUGACGGAGCAACGCCGCGUGAGUGAUGAAGGUUUUCGGAUCGUAAAACUCUGUUGUUAGGGAAGAACAAGUACGAGAGUAACUGCUCGUACCUUGACGGUACCUAACCAGAAAGCCACGGCUAACUACGUGCCAGCAGCCGCGGUAAUACGUAGGUGGCAAGCGUUGUCCGGAAUUAUUGGGCGUAAAGCGCGCGCAGGCGGUCCGUUAAGUCUGAUGUGGAAGCCCACGGCUCAACCGUGGAGGGUCAUUGGAAACUGGGGGACUUGAGUGCAGGAGAGAAGAGUGGAAUUCCACGUGUAGCGGUGAAAUGCGUAGAGAUGUGGAGGAACACCAGUGGCGAAGGCGACUCUUUGGCCUGUAACUGACGCUGAGGCGCGAAAGCGUGGGGAGCAAACAGGAUUAGAUACCCUGGUAGUCCACGCCGUAAACGAUGAGCGCUAAGUGUUAGAGGGUUUCCGCCCUUUAGUGCUGCAGCAAACGCAUUAAGCACUCCGCCUGGGGAGUACGGCCGCAAGGCUGAAACUCAAAGGAAUUGACGGA